rnacentral:lncRNA from 1 species
GCCGGUAUGAUAUAUUUGCUAGUUUAACGGUGAAAAGAAUCGAAAUAGGUUGAAUUUUUGAUAGAAAAUUUUAUUCACUAUCUAAAUAAUGAUCAAUAACUCCGAUCUUAAAUUGAAGAAUCCGAUCAUCCAUUUUAGGAUAUCAUUCGAUUUUAACCAUUCAUUUUAUACUUGCUUGAUGGACUUUAUAAUGAUUUCGAAAAUUUAUGAAAUUUAUUUUCUAGAAGUUUCAAAUACUCUAGAUUAUGUUUAACAGUGUGGAUCGUCGAUUUGAAAACUCCAACAUCGAAAACAACUUAUGAGUAGUAAGGGUUCUAUACUCAUAAGAGUAUAGUAGCCCUUCAUUUUAUACUCGCUUGAUGGACUUUAUAAUGAUUUCGAAAAUUUAUGAAAUUUAUUUUCUAGAAGUUUCAAAUACUCUAGAUUAUGUUUAACGGUGUGGAUCGUCGAUUUGAAAACUCUAACAUCGAAAACAACUUAUGAGUAGUAAGGGUUCUAUACUCAUAAGAGUAUAGUAACCCUACUAUAUAUAUAUAUAUAUAUAUAUCCGGCUACUAUACUAUUAAUAGCACGAAACACUUGGUGCUACCAAAUUUUCCGCCGUUAGAUCUAUCCUUUUGAUCAUUUACACCCANAAUCAACCUCCUUGUGAUCCCCCAAUACCACUGCAUGUACACAGAGGUAGCUCGUACCAUAUCUGGAUUGACGAAAGGACUCCUCUUCAAAAUAUAUAAUGCUUAUAUAUUAUGUAAUAUGUUUAUUAUAAUUUUAAAUGUAUUUAAUCUAUAUAUAAAAAUUAUAAUAAUAAUAUAUAUAGUAUAUUAAUUAUUAUAUAAUAAUAAUAUAUGUAAUAAAAAAUAUAUUAAAUAAAUUUUUAUCUAUUUUUCUUUUUCUUUCAACCAAACAAAUAUUAUGAAAAAAUUUUUUUUUUUUCCUACAAACUAAAAACUAAACUACGUGAAAAAAAAUUUCG